AUCCCUACGGGGGGCAGCAGUGGGGAAUAUUGGACAAUGGGCGAAAGCCUGAUCCAGCCAUGCCGCGUGAGUGACGAAGGCCUUAGGGUUGUAAAGCUCUUUUGGCGGGGACGAUAAUGACGGUACCCGCAGAAUAAGCCCCGGCUAACUUCGUGCCAGCAGCCGCGGUAAUACGAAGGGGGCUAGCGUUGUUCGGAAUCACUGGGCGUAAAGCGCACGUAGGCGGAUUUGUUAGUCAGGGGUGAAAUCCCGGGGCUCAACCUCGGAACUGCCUUUGAUACUGCAAAUCUCGAGUCCGGAAGAGGUGAGUGGAAUUCCUAGUGUAGAGGUGAAAUUCGUAGAUAUUAGGAAGAACACCAGUGGCGAAGGCGGCUCACUGGUCCGGUACUGACGCUGAGGUGCGAAAGCGUGGGGAGCAAACAGGAUUAGAUACCCCGGUAGUCUAG
rnacentral:rRNA from 1 species